GGGUGAUUAGCUCAGCUGGGAGAGCACCUCCCUUACAAGGAGGGGGUCGGCGGUUCGAUCCCGUCAUCACCUACUA
rnacentral:tRNA from 1 species